CACUAAGAAGCUUAUACAGCAUCAGCCUUUUAAGUUGAAGAGGAAAUAGUACUUUCCUUAGUGA
rnacentral:tRNA from 1 species